GGGCAAACGUACAAAAUCAGCAGGGGAUCAAAUACUUUUUUCCCUCAAUGUACUUGAGCUCCCUGAUCAUGGCAAUCAACUGCUGUGGUUGCUACAGAGAGGAGACAUUGGUAAAUCGGGCUGCUGGGGUUGCUACAGAGAGGAGAAAUAGGUCAAUCAGCUGCUGUGGUUGCUACAGAGAGGAGAAAUAGGUAAAUCGGGCUGCUGGGGUUGCUACAGAGAGGAGAAAUAGGUAAAUCGGGCUGCUGGGGUGGCUGCAGAGAGGAGAAAUAGGUCAAAGAGGGGUGAAGAAGAGAUUGAAGUGGAGGUUCGGUGAACUACACUCACAUGAUUGCAUAGAAUGAUAUGGUUCGUACUAGUGACAUGAGCAAUUUAACUUUAAUGAGGCCCUGACUUUCUAACCGAAGAUGCAGGGUUGGCCCUGGGCAUAUGCUACAUAGGCGGUCACUUAGAGCCCCUGGCCACUAGGGGGCCCCCGACAAAAAUAUAAUGGAACUCAGUCAGGGUCUCAACUUACUGUUAAGAGUUAGAAUAGUAGUAUACACAAGGUGUAAUUUCUAAGUUUGUUUGUGCAUUAGCAGUUUUGCUCUUGUUGUGUCAGUGUGUGACAGUCACUCAAUAAGCCAUGUCAGCUAACAUAUUUUAGAUUGGUUAAAUUACCGACUGGGCACGAAGGGCAGGGGCCCUGACCUCCAGGAGUCCCCGAUUUGAUUUUAUUAGAUAUCAUAUUAACAUGGCAUAAGUCACACAUUUUCUCUACGCCUAGGGCUGGGUGAUUUCGACGCAAACUUUUACAGAUGCACAAUCGAGAGGAUCCUGUCGGGCUGUAUCACCGUCUGGUACGGCAACUGCUCCGCCCAGAACCGCAAGGCUCUCCAGAGGGUAGUGCGGUCUGCACAACGCAUCACCGGGGGCAAACUACCUGCCCUCCAGGACACCUACAGCACCCGAUGUCACAGGAAGGCCAAAAAGAUCAUCAAGGACAACAACCACCUUGAGCCAUGGCCUGUUCACCCCGCUAUCAUCCAGAAGACGAGGUCAGUACAGGUGCUUCAAAGCGCCACGACGCUGUCUGUGUGUUCGAAGCGUUAGAGGCUGCUGCCCUAUGUACAUAGAUA
rnacentral:lncRNA from 1 species